rnacentral:rRNA from 1 species
UACGGGGGGGGCAAGCGUUGUUCGGAUUUACUGGGCGUAAAGGGCGCGUAGGCGGCCACCGCAAGUCAAUUGUGAAAUCUCCGGGCUCAACCCGGAAAGGUCAACUGAUACUGCGGGGCUAGAGUGCAGAAGGGGCAACUGGAAUUCUCGGUGUAGCGGUGAAAUGCGUAGAUAUCGAGAGGAACACCUGCGGCGAAGGCGGGUUGCUGGGCUGACACUGACGCUGACAGCGCGAAAGCUAGGGGAGCGAACGGG